rnacentral:lncRNA from 1 species
AUUACCUUUUUUUCUUUCAUAGAAAGAUUCCACCGAUGUUCCCAUUCUUGAAAAUUCCUUUUAACUUGCUUUAACUGGUCUUUAAGGGAAAGUAAGCAAUGACCAACUUGAUUCAGGCACACUUUAACUCUCUUUAUUUUAUUCUCUUCAUUUUCAUCCUUUUAUUCACUCCCCUCGAGUUGUGUCUCCUUUCACCCGAGUUCCCACUUCAAAUUAUUCUUUUCUUCAGCGACAUGAUGAAGGUUCGAC